CAGCCGCCGCGGUAAUACGAAGGGGGCUAGCGUUGCUCGGAAUGACUGGGCGUAAAGGGCGCGUAGGCGGUUUGCACAGUCGGGUGUGAAAUUCCUGGGCUUAACCUGGGGGCUGCAUUCGAGACGUGUAGGCUUGAGUGGGGAAGAGGGUCGUGGAAUUCCCAGUGUAGAGGUGAAAUUCGUAGAUAUUGGGAAGAACACCGGUGGCGAAGGCGGCGACCUGGUCCUUUACUGACGCUGAGGAGCGAAAGCGUGGGGAGCGAACAGGAUUAGAUACCCCCGUAGUCCCUGUCUCUUAUAA
rnacentral:rRNA from 1 species